ACCUUUCUGAAGAGUUCCAAAUAGCACGAAACUUAAGUCCAGGGAU
rfam:Schistosoma haematobium scaffold788_5, whole genome shotgun sequence.